UUAAGCGACUAAGCGUACACGGUGGAUGCCCUGGCAGUCAGAGGCGAUGAAGGACGUGCUAAUCUGCGAAAAGCGUCGGUAAGGUGAUAUGAACCGUUAUAACCGGCGAUGUCCGAAUGGGGAAACCCAGUGCAAUUCGUUGCACUAUCGUUAACUGAAUACAUAGGUUAACGAGGCGAACCGGGGGAACUGAAACAUCUAAGUACCCCGAGGAAAAGAAAUCAACCGAGAUUCCCCCAGUAGCGGCGAGCGAACGGGGAGCAGCCCAGAGUCUGAAUCAGCUUGUGUGUUAGUGGAACGGUCUGGAAAGUCCGACGGUACAGGGUGAUAGUCCCGUACACCAAAAUGCACAGGCUGUGAACUCGAAGAGUAGGGCGGGACACGUGGUAUCCUGUCUGAAUAUGGGGGGACCAUCCUCCAAGGCUAAAUACUCCUGACUGACCGAUAGUGAACCAGUACCGUGAGGGAAAGGCGAAAAGAACCCCGGCGAGGGGAGUGAAAAAGAACCUGAAACCGUGUACGUACAAGCAGUGGGAGCACCUUCGGGUGUGACUGCGUACCUUUUGUAUAAUGGGUCAGCGACUUAUAUUCUGUAGCAAGGUUAACCAUAUAGGGGAGCCGCAGGGAAACCGAGUCUUAACUGGGCGUUAAGUUGCAGGGUAUAGACCCGAAACCCGGUGAUCUAGCCAUGGGCAGGUUGAAGGUUGGGUAACACUAACUGGAGGACCGAACCGACUAAUGUUGAAAAAUUAGCGGAUGACUUGUGGCUGGGGGUGAAAGGCCAAUCAAACCGGGAGAUAGCUGGUUCUCCCCGAAAGCUAUUUAGGUAGCGCCUCGUGAACUCAUCUUCGGGGGUAGAGCACUGUUUCGGCUAGGGGGUCAUCCCGACUUACCAACCCGAUGCAAACUACGAAUACCGAAGAAUGUUAUCACGGGAGACACACGGCGGGUGCUAACGUCCGUCGUGAAGAGGGAAACAACCCAGACCGCCAGCUAAGGUCCCAAAGUCAUGGUUAAGUGGGAAACGAUGUGGGAAGGCACAGACAGCCAGGAUGUUGGCUUAGAAGCAGCCAUCAUUUAAAGAAAGCGUAAUAGCUCACUGGUCGAGUCGGCCUGCGCGGAAGAUGUAACGGGGCUAAACCAUGCACCGAAGCUGCGGCAGCGACACUAUGUGUUGUUGGGUAGGGGAGCGUUCUGUAAGCCUGCGAAGGUGUGCUGUGAGGCAUGCUGGAGGUAUCAGAAGUGCGAAUGCUGACAUAAGUAACGAUAAAGCGGGUGAAAAGCCCGCUCGCCGGAAGACCAAGGGUUCCUGUCCAACGUUAAUCGGGGCAGGGUGAGUCGACCCCUAAGGCGAGGCCGAAAGGCGUAGUCGAUGGGAAACAGGUUAAUAUUCCUGUACUUGGUGUUACUGCGAAGGGGGGACGGAGAAGGCUAUGUUAGCCGGGCGACGGUUGUCCCGGUUUAAGCAUGUAGGCUGGUUAUCCAGGCAAAUCCGGAUAAUCAAGGCUGAGGUGUGAUGACGAGGCACUACGGUGCUGAAGUAACAAAUGCCCUGCUUCCAGGAAAAGCCUCUAAGCAUCAGGUAACAUCAAAUCGUACCCCAAACCGACACAGGUGGUCAGGUAGAGAAUACCAAGGCGCUUGAGAGAACUCGGGUGAAGGAACUAGGCAAAAUGGUGCCGUAACUUCGGGAGAAGGCACGCUGGUGUGUAGGUGAAGUCCCUGCGGAUGGAGCUGAGACCAGUCGAAGAUACCAGCUGGCUGCAACUGUUUAUUAAAAACACAGCACUGUGCAAACACGAAAGUGGACGUAUACGGUGUGACGCCUGCCCGGUGCCGGAAGGUUAAUUGAUGGGGUUAUCCGUAAGGAGAAGCUCUUGAUCGAAGCCCCGGUAAACGGCGGCCGUAACUAUAACGGUCCUAAGGUAGCGAAAUUCCUUGUCGGGUAAGUUCCGACCUGCACGAAUGGCGUAAUGAUGGCCAGGCUGUCUCCACCCGAGACUCAGUGAAAUUGAACUCGCUGUGAAGAUGCAGUGUACCCGCGGCAAGACGGAAAGACCCCGUGAACCUUUACUAUAGCUUGACACUGAACAUUGAGCCUUGAUGUGUAGGAUAGGUGGGAGGCUUUGAAGCGUGGACGCCAGUCUGCGUGGAGCCAACCUUGAAAUACCACCCUUUAAUGUUUGAUGUUCUAACGUUGGCCCCUGACCGGGGUUGCGGACAGUGUCUGGUGGGUAGUUUGACUGGGGCGGUCUCCUCCCAAAGCGUAACGGAGGAGCACGAAGGUUAGCUAAUCCUGGUCGGACAUCAGGAGGUUAGUGCAAUGGCAUAAGCUAGCUUGACUGCGAGCGUGACGGCGCGAGCAGGUGCGAAAGCAGGUCAUAGUGAUCCGGUGGUUCUGAAUGGAAGGGCCAUCGCUCAACGGAUAAAAGGUACUCCGGGGAUAACAGGCUGAUACCGCCCAAGAGUUCAUAUCGACGGCGGUGUUUGGCACCUCGAUGUCGGCUCAUCACAUCCUGGGGCUGAAGUAGGUCCCAAGGGUAUGGCUGUUCGCCAUUUAAAGUGGUACGCGAGCUGGGUUUAGAACGUCGUGAGACAGUUCGGUCCCUAUCUGCCGUGGGCGCUGGAGAAUUGAGGGGGGCUGCUCCUAGUACGAGAGGACCGGAGUGGACGCAUCACUGGUGUUCGGGUUGUCAUGCCAAUGGCACUGCCCGGUAGCUAAAUGCGGAAGAGAUAAGUGCUGAAAGCAUCUAAGCACGAAACUUGCCCCGAGAUGAGUUCUCCCUGAGACUUUAAGUCUCCUGAAGGAACGUUGAAGACGACGACGUUGAUAGGCCGGGUGUGUAAGCGCAGCGAUGCGUUGAGCUAACCGGUACUAAUGAACCGUGAGGCUUAACCUU
rnacentral:rRNA from 1 species